AGAAAAUUAGGUUGUUAUUAUUAUUUUUCUUCCCCGCCUUACCCUGUUUUUUUUUUUUUAACGGGUGUUUCAAUUUUUCGUGAACGUGUCCUGUAUUGGGGGAUAGCCCGGCAAACCGCGGGGUAAGACCGCAAUCAAUCUACUACGGAAAGGGGGAAAUCUUAAAACCUCCCGCUACUGAGAGGGCCGAUGGCACCUAAACUGUGUUUUGGGAAUCAGGCCUAGGGCGACGACAAUAGGUAACUUGUCUGAGAGGACGGCCCCCCACACUGGGAUGAGACACGGCCCACACUCCCCGGAGGCCACGGGGGAAUUUUGGACAAUGGGGCAACCCUGAUCCAGCAUGCCCCGGUGUGCAAAAGCCUUUGGUUCUAAGCAUUUUGUCCGAAGAAAAGGCCAUGUUAUACCCGUGGUAGAAGACGGUACGGAAGAAUAGCACCGGCCACUACUGCCAGCAGCCGCGGUAUAGUAUGUCCAGCGUAAUCGAAAUACAGGCGUAAGCGUCGCAGCUGUCCGCUAGAACUAUGGGAAAUACCCGGGCUUAACUGGGAAUGCAUUGUGACUAGCGGGCUAGAGUAGGCAGAGGCGGUAGAAUUCCACGUGUAGCAUGAAUCGCGUAGAGAUGGGAGGAAUACCGAUGGCGAAGGCUGCCCCCUGGGCCAAUACUGACGCUCAUGCACAAGAGCGUGGGGAGCAAACAGGAUUAGAUACCCUGGUAGUCCACGCCCUAAACGUGUCAACUAGUUGUCGGGUCUUCAUUGACUUGGUAACGAGCUAACGCCUGAAGUUGACGCCUGGGGAUACGGUCGCAAGAUUAAACUCAAAGGAUUGACGGGACCCGCACAGCGGUGGAUGAUGUGGAUUAAUUGAUGCACGCGAAAAACCUUACCUACCACGACUGUAUGGAAUCUGCUGAGAGGGGGAGUGCCCGAAAGGGAGCCAUAACACAGGUGCUCAGGCUUCGUCAGCUCGUGUCGUGAGAGUUGGGUUAAGUCCCGCAACGACGCAACCCUGUCCCUAGUGCUACGCAGAGCAUCUAGGGAGACGCCCAGACAAACCGAGGAAGGUGGGAUAACUCAAGUCCCAGGCCCUUAUGGGUAGGCUCCACGUCUACAAUGGUCGGACAGAGGGUCGCCAACCCCGAGGGGGACCAUCCCAGAAAACCAUUAGUUCGGAUCCACUCAACUCAGUGCUGAACUGAUCCUAUAAUCCGAAGCAUGCCGCGGUGAAACUUCCGGCGGUCUCCCCCACACCGCGAUGGUUACCAUGGGAGUCCCGGUCUCCCAGAAGGGUGUAGUAACCCUCAUGGAACAAACCAACCGACCCAACCACC
rnacentral:rRNA from 1 species